AGUGCUCCCGCAUGUUGCAAAGUGGUUCCUUUUCCCCUCCGUCUCUGGGAAGACUGAGGGGAUUUUUCUCCAAUAUUUACGUGAGUGCCUGCUUGAGCUCCUGGAGCUAAAACUUGCAAACUUGUGGAGGUACCCUCCUACGACUGGGUUCCACUGGAGUUUUUAACCCUCAGAGUUGUCCACACUAAACCUCCAGCAAUUAGCAAUGACAAUUCAGUUUGUCCUACUCCUGCACUGCCGAUGGCCACUCCUGAGUCUCUGCUCUGAAUUCAUCUGCUUGGGUGCUGAUAUAGGUUGUUGGAUUUAAUCACGGUAUUUUGGAAAAAACAAGUGGAGCAGACUGGAGUCCUUUGAAGAACUUAAUGCCUUGUAGCUGGGAAGUUUGUAGAUGGUGGCAACAAGGAGAGACAAUGCAUGCUUCUAAAAGUGGUGAUGACCAUAUUUUGAGUUUUAUGAAUUUAUUUUGAGGAGAGAAGAUCUUCGAAGGCAAGAUUAAGACUGAAUCUAUUCUCAGCAUUUCCAAGGUCUACAAUGCAAUUGGUUGUAAAAAGUGGAAACCAAUUCUGAUUUGCAUAAGCCAAAGGUGCCUUAGAAUUCAGCUGGAGAGAUAUAAAGAUAUGAAAAAAGCCUUGUUUACUCUAGCAUAUCACAUGAGAAACAGCUACGAGCCACAGUGGAAUAUAUCCAAAUCUACUAUAGGUUGCAUUAUACCAGAACUUCGAGAGGUCACCAUGCAUAAUGUUUUUCUGCCUGAUUUAUAAAAGAAUAUACUACGGCUCUCCAACAAACUGGAUCAUGAGACAUUGAAAAACACAUCAAAGCUCUUUGGGAGUUUGGAGCACAGCUUUCGAUGCAGGCACAUCUAACUGGGUAUCCCACUUCUGCCAGUGAUCAAAUAUGCGACCUUGGUCAGAGACUUAACUUUCACUGUGUCUUAGCAUCCUCGUCUAUG
rnacentral:lncRNA from 1 species